rnacentral:rRNA from 1 species
GACGAACGCUGGCGGCAUGCUUAACACAUGCAAGUCGAACGGAAAGGCCCUGCUUGCAGGGUACUCGAGUGGCGAACGGGUGAGUAACACGUGGGUGAUCUGCCCUGCACUUCGGGAUAAGCCUGGGAAACUGGGUCUAAUACCGGAUAGGAGCCAUUUUUAGUGUGAUGGUUGGAAAGUUUUUUCGGUGUAGGAUGAGCUCGCGGCCUAUCAGCUUGUUGGUGGGGUAAUGGCCUACCAAGGCGGCGACGGGUAGCCGGCCUGAGAGGGUGGACGGCCACAUUGGGACUGAGAUACGGCCCAGACUCCUACGGGAGGCAGCAGUGGGGAAUAUUGCACAAUGGGCGCAAGCCUGAUGCAGCGACGCCGCGUGGGGGAUGACGGCCCUCGGGUUGUAAACUCCUUUCGCUAGGGACGAAGCUUUUUGUGACGGUACCUAGAUAAGAAGCACCGGCUAACUACGUG